UACAGAGGGUGCGAGCGUUGUCCGGAAUCAUUGGGCGUAAAGGGCGCGUAGGUGGCGGGACAAGCGUGCGGUGAAAGCCUGGGGCUCAACCCCGGGUCGGCCGUGCGAACUGUUUUGCUUGAGCACUGUAGAGGCAGGCGGAAUUCCGGGUGUAGCGGUGGAAUGCGUAGAGAUCCGGAAGAACACCGGUGGCGAAGGCGGCCUGCUGGGCAGUAGCUGACACUGAGGCGCGACAGCGUGGGGAGCAAACAGG
rnacentral:rRNA from 1 species